rnacentral:rRNA from 1 species
UACGUAGGGGGCAAGCGUUGUCCGGAAUCAUUGGGCGUAAAGAGCGUGUAGGCGGCCCGAUAAGUCCGCUGUGAAAGUCCAGGGCUCAACCCUGGGAUGCCGGUGGAUACUGUCGGGCUCGAGUGCGGAAGAGGCGAGUGGAAUUCCUGGUGUAGCGGUGAAAUGCGCAGAUAUCAGGAGGAACACCUAUUGCGAAGGCAGCUCGCUGGGACGUAACUGACGCUGAGACGCGAAAGCGUGGGGAGCAAACAGG